rnacentral:rRNA from 1 species
GACGAACGCUGGCGGCGUGCUUAAUACAUGCAAGUCGAACGCUUAAUCGUUUUCCGCCGGGUGCUAGUCGCAAACGGGUUGGUAACACGUGGGCAAUCUACCCUGCACUUUGGGAUCACAUCGGGGAAGUGUGACUAAUGCCGAAUACUGCUAUUCCCGCCAACUUCGGUUUUGGGAAUGUUCGGCGGUUCAGGAUGACGUUGCGGCCUCUCAGCUAGUUGGUGGGGUAGCGGCCUACAAAGGAGACGAUGGGGAGCCGGCCUGAGAGGGUGACCGGCCACACUGGGACUGAGAAACGGGCAGGAGUCAUACGGGAGGCAGCGGUGGGAAAUAUAGCGCGAAGGGCGGAAGGAGGAAACAGGGACGCCGGGUGAGAGAUGACGGCUUUCGGGUUAUAAACCGCUUGCGGCAGGGAAGAAGAGACAGUGACGGUACCUGAAGAAGAAGCAACGGCUAACUACGUG